CUCACACGGAACACGAGGCCUGUGUGGGGAAGGGGGUCCCUUCCUCCUUCCCCAUCAGCCUGGGCUCCUCCAGUGCUCCUGCCCAGAGGCAUCCCUCAGAUGGCAGAUUGAAGGCAUGAGACCAAAUGGCACAAUCACAAGAAUCAAGUUCAGACUGUCCGCUGGUUACUACAGCAACAGCAGUUACUGUGAUUGCUGAGAGCUACCAUUUAUUCAGCACUGGUAUGUUCCUGGGUGCCUCACAGGCCUUAGCUCAUUUAAUCCUCACCAGGACCCCAUGAGUGGCUCCUGGAGCUGCCUGAUAACCUGUAAGCCUCCUUCGGUAAUAACGGAAUCUGCUGUACUAAUGACACAGGCAAAUCCGGGGGCCGCCUCCUCUGCAGAGCCACUGCGGCAGGCCCGCCCCUUCCCCAGAGCCCAUGCCCUUGCAGGCAAUGCCGACCUGUCCCCCAAACCGGCAGGGCUUGACAUCCUGAAUACCAACACCGGACAAGGCCUGGUCUCUGCUGCUGCAGACCGAACAAGCGCUGGAGCCGAGUGCCGGGCUGCCCCAUGCUGGCCCCUUGCAAACAGCAGAGCAGGGUCUUACCACGGCUGCCUUGAAGCUGAGAAGACAGACGCUGGGCCGAGGGCCUUGGCACCAGCCCAGGGUAACUGGGACACCCAUGUUUGCAAAGAAAGCAUUUGUGAAGUGUGAAGAAAUCAGAACAGGGCCGUUCAAAAACUGUGUUUAAAUUUCACUCAAAAUGUUCUAUUUUGUGUAAGGGGCAGAGUCCCUUUAGAAAAACACUUGCUGGCAUUUGCGAACCACUGUUGCCAUGGAGCUGUUAAGAGAAGUUAGCUACCCAGGGUCGGCAAUUAAUUCUAGUGGCUGUCGGUAAAAUGAGCCAGCAGCUCCUUUUGGAAAAAGCCGAUGGGUACACGGAAGCUGAAAGGUAUCCAUCCAGAGCCACGACGUGCCAUGGACUGGUCUAGUGAGUAAGACGAAGUUAUUCUCAAAGAACCCAAAGGAAAAGAUAGGCCAGGCAUAUUCGGAGAAAGGAGAAGGUGAUUUUUGAAGGGCUGGUGCUAUGAGUAUAAAAAGCCUGAAUGACGGGUAUCCGAGGGGGGUGUGAGAUGGAGUUUAGGCAGGGAACUCUGGAAAAGCCUUGGAGGAGGAGACCUUGAGUUGAAUCUGGAAUAAGAAUCCAGCCUGGGAAAGAUCUGGGGGAAGCAAGGGUUCAGACCCAGGCGGGUGUGAAGGAAGAGGUUAGGGCAGCCUCAGCCCUCCCCACCCUGCCCCGGGGACAUUCAGGAAAAAAGCCAUACCAGAAGAAAUGGAAGUUCCAAAUAAGAGAAGAGCGUUAGGGCUGGUGAGGGCCACCCUCUGUGGCAGUAGCUGUGCAUCUGUCUGCUCAUCAGUGCCUGGCCUGAGCUGGGCCAUGUUCACAUGGCAAACAUGUGAAACAGUUCAGGAAUACAACAUUGUUAAAUGAGGCUCCCCCUUGAACUCAAGACUCAGUGUCUUGGGAUACCUGGGUGGCUCAGUGGUUGAGCAUCUGCCUUUGGCUCAGGUCAUGAUCCUGGGGUCCUGGGAUCGAGUCCUGCAUCAGGCUCCCUGC